UACGUAGGGUGCAAGCGUUAUUCGGAAUUACUGGGCGUAAAGCGUGCGCAGGCGGUGAUGCAAGUCAGAUGUGAAAUCCCCGGGCUCAACCUGGGAACUGCAUUUGUGACUGCAUCGCUGGAGUACGGGAGAGGGGGGUGGAAUUCCGCGUGUAGCAGUGAAAUGCGUAGAUAUGCGGAGGAACACCGAUGGCGAAGGCAAUCCCCUGGGCCUGUACUGACGCUCAGGCACGAAAGCGUGGGGAGCAAACAGG
rnacentral:rRNA from 1 species